rnacentral:rRNA from 1 species
CCUACGGGUGGCUGCAGUCGAGAAUCAUUCACAAUGGGGGAAACCCUGAUGGUGCGACGCCGCGUGGGGGAAUGAAGGUCUUCGGAUUGUAAACCCCUGUCAUGUGGAAGCAAAUUAAAGAGAUAGUACCAAAAGAGGAAGAGACGGCUAACUCUGUGCCAGCAGCCGCGGUAAUACAGAGGUCUCAAGCGUUGUUCGGAAUCACUGAGCGUAAGGCGUGCGUAGGCUGUUUCGUAAGUCGGGUGUGAAAGGCGCGGGCUCAACCCGCGGACGGCACAUGAUACUGCGAGACUAGAGUAAUGGAGGGGGAACUGGAAUUCUCGGUGUAGCAGUGAAAUGCGUAGAUAUCGAGAGGAACACUCGUGGCGAAGGCGGGUUCCUGGACAUUAACUGACGCUGAGGCACGAAGGCCAGGGGAGCGAAAGGGAUUAGAUACCCGGGUAGUC